GCUGGUGUGGCUCAAUGGUAGAGCAGCUGACUUGUAAUCAGCAGGUUGAUGGUUCGAUUCCGUUCACCAGCUCCA
rnacentral:tRNA from 3 species